AGAGUUUGAUUUUGGCUCAGAUUGAACGCUGGCGGAAUGCUUUACACAUGCAAGUCGAACGAUGAACCUUAGCUUGCUAAGGGGAUUAGUGGCGAACGGGUGAGUAAUAUAUCGGAACGUGCCUUGUAAUGGGGGAUAACUAGUCGAAAGAUUAGCUAAUACCGCAUACGCCCUGAGGGGGAAAGUAGGGGAUCUUCGGACCUUACGUUAUAAGAGCGGCCGAUAUCCGAUUAGCUAGUUGGUGGGGUAAAGGCCUACCAAGGCAUCGAUCAGUAGCUGGUCUGAGAGGACGACCAGCCACACUGGAACUGAGACACGGUCCAGACUCCUACGGGAGGCAGCAGUGGGGAAUUUUGGACAAUGGGGGCAACCCUGAUCCAGCAAUGCCGCGUGAGUGAAGAAGGCCUUCGGGUUGUAAAGCUCUUUUGUCAGGGAAGAAACGGUGAGGGCUAAUAUCCUUUGCUAAUGACGGUACCUGAAGAAUAAGCACCGGCUAACUACGUGCCAGCAGCCGCGGUAAUACGUAGGGUGCAAGCGUUAAUCGGAAUUACUGGGCGUAAAGCGUGCGCAGGCGGUUAUGUAAGUCAGAUGUGAAAUCCCCGGGCUCAACCUGGGAAUGGCAUUGGAGACUGCAUGGCUAGAGUGUGUCAGAGGGGGGUAGAAUUCCACGUGUAGCAGUGAAAUGCGUAGAGAUGUGGAGGAAUACCGAUGGCGAAGGCAGCCCCCUGGGAUAACACUGACGCUCAUGCACGAAAGCGUGGGGAGCAAACAGGAUUAGAUACCCUGGUAGUCCACGCCCUAAACGAUAAUAGUAGUUGUCGGGGAGUAAAUGUUUAUUGUAAUGCAGCUAACGCGGAAAGAAGACCGCCUGGGGAGGCGGGUAGCAAGAUUAAAAAUAAAAGGAAUAGACGGGGGCCCGCCCAACCGGCGGAUGAUGGUGAUUAAUUAGUUGCAACGCGAAAAACCUCACCUACCCCUGACAUGUACGGAACCUCUGAGAGAGUAGAGGGGGCUCGAAAGAGAGCCGUAACACAGGCGCUGCAUGGCUGUCGUCAGCUCGUGUCGUGAGAUGUUGGGUUAAGUCCCGCAACGAGCGCAACCCUUGUCAUUAGUUGAUACGAAAGGGCACUCUAAUGAGACUGCCGGUGACAAACCGGAGGAAGGUGGGGAGGACGUCAAGUCCUCAUGGCCCCUAUGGGUAGGGGGUCACACGUCAUACAAUGGUACAUACAGAGGGCCGCCAACCCGCGAGGGGGAGCUAAUCCCAGAAAGAGUAUCGUAGUCCGGAUUGUAGUCUGCAACUCGACUACAUGAAGUUGGAAUCGCUAGUAAUCGCGGAUCAGCAUGUCGCGGUGAAAAAAAUCCCGGGUCUUGUACUCACCGCC
rnacentral:rRNA from 1 species